AUUGAACGCUGGCGGCAGGCCUAACACAUGCAAGUCGGGCGGAUGACGGGAGCUUGCUCCUUGAUUCAGCGGCGGACGGGUGAGUAAUGCCUAGGAAUCUGCCGGGUAGUGGGGGACAACGUUUCGAAAGGAACGCUAAUACCGCAUACGUCCUACGGGAGAAAGCAGGGGCCCUUGGGGCCUUGCGCUAUCAGAUGAGCCUAGGUCGGAUUAGCUAGUUGGUGGGGUAAUGGCUCACCAAGGCGACGAUCCGUAACUGGUCUGCGAGGAUGAUCAGUCACACUGGAACUGAGAAACGGUCCAUACUCCUACGGGAGGCAGCAGUGGGGAAUAUUGGACAAUGGGCGAAAGCCUGAUCCAGCCAUGCCGCGUGUGUGAAGAAGGUCUUCGGAUUGUAAAGCACUUUAAGUUGGGAGGAAGGGCAGUAAGUUAAUACCUUGCUGUUUUGACGUUACCGACAGAAUAAGCACCGGCUAACUCUGCGCCAGCCGCCGCAGUAA
rnacentral:rRNA from 1 species